ACUACGGGAGGCAGCAGUGGGGGAUAUUGCACAAUGGGGGGAACCCUGAUGCAGCGACGCCGCGUGGGUGAAGAAGCGCCUCGGCGCGUAAAGCCCUGUCAGCAGGGAAGAAAAUGACGGUACCUGAAGAAGAAGCCCCGGCUAACUACGUGCCAGCAGCCGCGGUAAUACGUAGGGGGCAAGCGUUAUCCGGAUUUACUGGGUGUAAAGGGGGCGCAGACGGCGAUGCAAGCCAGGAGUGAAAGCCCGGGGCCCAACCCCGGGACUGCUCUUGGAACUGCGUGGCUGGAGUGCAGGAGGGGCAGGCGGAAUUCCGGGUGUAGCGGUGAAAUGCGUAGAUAUCAGGAGGAACACCGGUGGCGAAGGCGGCCUGCUGGACUGCAACUGACGUUGAGGCCCGAAAGCGUGGGGAGCAAACAGGAUUAGAUACCCGAGUAGUC
rnacentral:rRNA from 1 species